rnacentral:misc_RNA from 1 species
ACCCAACAAAAGCCCCAUUCUAAAUAGAGGCGCCAGAGCUCCAAAAAUGGAGAAUAAGAAAAAUUAGAAAAAAAAUGUAAAUAAAAACUGAAAACAAGUGUAGGGGGAAGGUCAAUCGCCACAAACAGUCGGACCAUUUCUAAACUAAACCUUACUGGAAACUUAUUUUAGUGAGAAGGAGGAGUGUUUUUUAGAGAGAGAGAGAGAGAG